rnacentral:tRNA from 1 species
GUCAGGAUGGCCGAACGGGCUAAGGUGCUGCGUUCAGGCCGCAGUCUCCUCUGGGGACGUGGGUUCGAAUCCCGACCCUGACA